GCUCCCCCAAAUACAGUAAAUGAUAAAUAUAUUUCUAUAAAUUUUAAUUUUUAUAUAUUAUUUUGAGUCCGACUCAGAUAUUAUUGAUAACACCAAAUACUUGAUGCUAUCGAAUUUUCCACCGUUAAAUUUAACCCUUUAAUUAUUUUUACCUGUUAGAUUAUACUAUUCAACCAACAACUCACUCAAACCCUAGGGAGUUCAUAUCAUCCUAGCCGUAUAUUUCUUCGUCCAAAGACCGAAAACCUAAUAGCACUAACAGCUUAGUACUAUUGAUAGCAUUCCAGCCUAGUUCUAUUAUUUUUAUAAAAAUUCUAAUGUUUUCAAAUAUAUAUCCUUAUAUUUUGUUAUUAUUAGAGAACUAUUUAUAUUUUCAAUUUUAUCAUUACAAAUAUAUUUCUUCAAAAGUCAUAACAGUAUAAUAUAAUAUAAAAGGAUAAAAGAAAAGUAUUUAACCUAUUAUUAACUAAAUUUUUCUAACGGAUUCUAACGGCAGUAAUAUAUUUAAAAAUAUCAGAAGUUUUGUUGGAAUAAAUAUGAAAGUUGAAUUUUAUUGAAAUAUAUAUUUAUUAUUUGCCAAUGUGAAAUUAAUCCAUAAUAAUAAUGCUGGUAGAAAGAGACAUGCUUUUUUUUUUUUCUUUUUUUUUAUUACAACAUUGCUUUUUACGUCAAUUCGCUAUCCAUUUGCUCAUGCACACACUCACUCGCACAAGAUUAGUAGAUUCAUGAUUGCUUUGGACUUAUUACAAAUUAAACAAAACUUUUCAUCUUAUAUGCAUUUCAUAUUAGUAGGUUCAGCUACAAGUAUACUGUUUAUUUCAGAAAUAAUUACAAGUUCAGAUAUAAACAGUAAUUAGACCAAUUUUACUAGAAUAGUGAGAAUUUGAAUAAUUAUAGCUUGAAAAUAAUAAUAUCUUAUCUAAUUAAUUAACAAUAAUAUAUUAAUUAAUAAAUUUAUUAGCUAUAGAUAUUAUAGUAAAUUAAUAAAUAUAAUAAAUAUUAAUUAAAUAAUUAUUUAAUUAAUACAUUUUUAUAAUUAAUUAUAAAAAUAAGUUAUCUUUUUAUUUAGAUAAUUAGUUAAAAAUUAUCUAAUUAAUUAAUAUAAAAUAUUAAUUAAAUAAUAAUUUAACUUAUUUAAUUAACUAAUUAAUAGAUUAACCGAAAUAUUGAUUAAUAAAAUAAUUAACAGUGCAUGCUGUUAAUUAAUAAUUUAAUUAAUCAUAAGUAUUUUAAUAAAUUAAUUAAUUAAUUAAUAAUUAGCUAAUUAAUAGUUAGAUAAUUAAUUAAUUAAUUAAAUUAAUUAGAUUGG
rnacentral:lncRNA from 1 species